UGGUGAGAAUAUCACUGCAAGGAGAGAACCUUCCAGAGUGCCUCUGCCCCAGGCCUUUGCACCGCCCUUCUGUCUGCCUGGAAUGCUUUUCUUUGCCUCUUUCCCCAGACUGAGGCAAGACCACGUGGACUCAACAGAAGGGAACCAUCCACAGGCUAGGAGCAGAGCCCUCAACAGAAACCAGAAAUCAGGUCACCUGGAAAUGGUCUUCCAGCUUCUGGGUCUGAUUCCCAAAGCUAAGCAAAGUCUGCUGGAGCAGUGGGCUAAAAUCCCAAACUCUGCCACUUAGCCACUUAGCUGGCGCGGCUCACCUACCGUAGGAGUCGCCUGGGUCCAGGAGGGAGUCGGGCUCCAUGGCGUGUGGGCCCCUGGGCCGUGGCCCCACCUGAUUUAUGAACCGAGGCCGUCUCCAUGAGCGCCUGCGCUUCUCCUUUUGUAUUCCAUCUGGCGGCUUCUCCAACUAGAUGACUGGGUAUUCCUGCAAGCAGGCCCCUUUCCAGCCCUCGCCUUCAUACAGUACAUUUAAAGUAGCAGUAACCUUUUUUUCCUCCCCCCGCAGCCUGCCUGGAAACAUUAGAAGGGACAGAGGCGGCGAGAUGUCUAAAAUAGGAAGACGCUGGGGACGGCUGGCCUGGCUGCCCGCGUUGCUGGCUGCAGGGAUCUGGUCCGGCUGUGCAGAUGGAAAAGCUAGAAGACAGGAUCUCAUGUGGCUCCCCAGCUGAUGAAGAACUCACCGUGACGCUCAGGGUGGCCUUGAAUGUCUCCUCUUCUGGCUUCCACCCCUUGAGUACUGGAUGUACAGGCGCGUGGUACCACGAUGGUUUUCACCUCAGCGCCAGGCACUGAACCCAGGAUUGCAUGCAUUCUAGGUGAACGUUCUGCUGCCUGAGCUACAUCCCCAACACUGUGAGGAAUGUCUUCAUGUACCCCACUCGUAUCCAUCUGAUGACUUCUGUAGGUUAAACUGUAAAACCACAGUUGGUGGAGCAGAAAGGCCUGCAGGCUCAACAUUCUACAAGUGCUGACUUUGGCCUAGCGGUGGUACUGGACAGUCACGCCGAAGCCAGUCAGGAAAACCCACAAGAAGCCUGCUAUGUUUCCCAGAUGAGCAACAGUAGCCGUCUGUGCGAUUCAGCAAAUGCUGCCUGAAGACUAUGCCAAAGGAAUGACCCAGGGAUGAGUCAGCCAGAGUACUAGCCAUGGGCAUCACCAGCCAUAGGAGAGAGGCUCUCAAAGUGUUACCAGGUGAGGAGUCUGCCCACCGUUGCGAGAGACUUAAAAUGCUCUUUUACUGUGGACCUUUGGAAGGCUGGACACACGAAAAAAAAAAAAAGUUCCGAGUGCCAGACCACAUAGCUGACCCAUUGCAGGGCAGGCAAGUUACAUGCUGGAGGGGCCACGCAGUAAAUAUUUCAGACUUUGUAACUCUGCUCAGUUCUGCAUUUGUAACUGGAGAACAACUUUGGGCAGCUCCCCAAUGAGUGGAUGUGACUGUGGAUCAAUCAAACAGAACUCUUGGGGGCAGGAUGGCUCAGAAGUUAAGAUCAUUUGAUGUGAAAUUACGAGCAGCAGAUCCCAGCACCGUCUGUGGGACAAGUGGACCAUGCCAGCAGACAGAAGAACUAGUAAGGUUGAGCAGGUUUAAAACCCCAGGGAAUCUUAACAUUGAGAAUAGCAGGCUUGGAAACAGCUUCCUGCCAAGCUCUUCCUGUCCUGGAACAGGUUCUCUGCUGGGGAGUCUCAGAAGCAGACUAAGGCCUGGAAGCUCGGAGUGUGGGUUAACAUGGUACCUGGAGCCAUUCUCUACGUUGCUGGGAAGAGGCAAAGCAAUUCUCCAGAGCCCUGGGAGGAUCCUACCAGAGACAUACUCAAGGACCGCUAUUGCAGAGCACCUGACUGGUCCAGGGAAGCAAGCAUCUCCAGAGAGGAUAGGCCUGCCUACUCCUGCAUGCUCAGGCCAGAACACGUGUCCAGUGGCAGCCCUUGGAGACGGAACAGAGGGGGUUGCCCAGGCUGGGGGAGCAAAAUGAACUCGGGACAGGAAGAAUGGCUGCAGCAUGUCAUUUGAGGAACUGACAAGGAGCAACAGGGAAUGAAUUACCUCACAGGAUCCUAGGAGUCACCAAGCCCUUGAUGGCAGCUAACUCCCGUGACAGGUGAGACGGGCCACGACAAAUCGGGCUCCUGCUGGACUUUAAACUCUAUACCUCUAGAGCAGAUCCUGAAGGCCAUACAGGCUUGACCAGGGUAUCCAGGCUGGUCAUGGGGAGAUGUGAAGCCAUUCGACUCACAGCAGCGGGAGCUACCCACGGGGACGGCUGACUUACUGAGUCUGUACUCCAGAUACCACCUAUUGAGGUUGCCGGCAGAAUGCUGAGGAAAUAAAUCUGUUCACUAAGACAUCCCACCCCUUCCCUGCCAAGGUCCGGGGCUGGAAGCAGCCGGCAGACUAGCAGCGCCA
rnacentral:lncRNA from 1 species